UGGCUCAGUGGUAGAGUGCUUGCCUUGCAUGCAUGAAGCCCUGGGUUCAAUUCCUAA
rnacentral:tRNA from 1 species